rnacentral:rRNA from 1 species
CCUACGGGUGGCAGCAGUGGGGAAUAUUGGGCAAUGGGCGCAAGCCUGACCCAGCAACGCCGCGUGAAGGAAGACGGCUUUCGGGUUGUAAACUUCUUUUUUCAGGGACGAAGCAAGUGACGGUACCUGACGAAUAAGCCACGGCUAACUACGUGCCAGCAGCCGCGGUAAUACGUAGGUGGCAAGCGUUAUCCGGAUUUACUGGGUGUAAAGGUCGUGUAGGCGGGACUGUAAGUCAGAUGUGAAAACCAGGGGCUCAACCGUUGGCCUGCAUUUGAAACUGUAGUUCUUGAGUACUGGAGAGGCAGACGGAAUUCCUGGUGUAGCGGUGAAAUGCGUAGAUAUCAGGAGGAACACCGGUGGCGAAGGCGGUUCGCUGGACAGCAACUGACGCUGAGGCGCGAAAGUGUGGGGAGCAAACAGGAUUAGAUACCCGAGUAGUC